rnacentral:tRNA from 1 species
GCUUUGAUAGUUUAAUUAAAAUACUAUGUUGUGGUUAUAGAGAUAUUGAAGAUUUAAAGCA